CGCGCAGGCGGUCGUUCAAGUCGCGUGUGAAAGCCCCCGGCUCAACUGGGGAGGGUCACGCGAUACUGAUCGACUCGAAGGCAGGAGAGGGUAGUGGAAUUCCCGGUGUAGUGGUGAAAUGCGUAGAUAUCGGGAGGAACGACCAGUGGCGAAGGCGACUACCUGGCCUGUUCUUGACGCUGAGGCGCGAAAGCUAGGGGAGCAAACG
rnacentral:rRNA from 1 species